UUUGUCAUUCAGUUGCCAGUGUAGACAUAGCCUUAGAAACAAAGAAAUUGUGUCUUUUUUUUAAGCAACUAGGGGGAAGGCCAGAUGGGAGGCUGCUUAGCAGUGUCCUCUGAACCCCUGCCAUAGUGUGAAACAGAGAACAAGUUGUCCUAUCAGCUAGGGGAUGGCUUGUAGGUCAGUCAGAGACCACAGGGCUCAAUUAUCUGACAACAGAGUUUGUAAGGAUUUUAGGAAUGGCUAAUAUUGUGGCAUGCAGAAGGUCAGCAGUGCAAGCCUUAAGUACUGCUCAUUCCCUGUCCAGAGAUAAACAAUCCUGAUAGUUAGCCAGGUUGAGGUAAUACAGGGACCUAUAAAGACUAACAGCUACCCCUUUCAAACAGAGACCUAUGUAACUGCUGGUUCAACAGUCACCCAUGCCCUCCUGACCCAGACAGCAGGAUUAUAACAUAGCUCCUCCCAGUGCUUGUCUAGUGAGUCAUGCCACAGUGCUAGAUGGUGAAUCAGGUAUUUUCAGCAUAAAGAUCAAUCUUCAAUGGUGAUCUCAGUGUUGCUGUUAUGCCAUCAACAUCUACUUGAACUGUAACCCUUCAGUUACUGCACAACUGCCAGUGACUUAAACUUUCUCAUUAGAAGAGCUUUUUAAAUUACUGGAAGUUAUAUCAGGCACAGACUUCAUAGAUAAACCAAAGAUUUCUUCAGCUGUCCAUGAGAAGAGGUGAUACCUUAUUUGACAAACUUCUCAUGGAGAGAGAAAGAAGCUUUGGAGUUUACACAGAGCUGCUGUAUGGGGUCUGGGAAAAGGUACUCAGUGUCUCUGCUAAAUAAAAGGUGAAACACAUGGUUUAGCAUAAGCAGUUAACUGGCCACUUCACCUUCUGUGGUCCCUUAACAUCUCCAGUCAUUUGGGGGGAAGGGGGGAGAAUUACAAACACUAAAGAAAAGGUGGUAGUGAUUUAACAAACGAGAUAGUAUAUCACUGUGGAUGAGGUAAGCCAAGAGAUGGUAAACCCUUUUCAAGCAAACAAAUGGGUUAAGUGUACACAUUAUUCCAAGGGUCAGGAAUGCUGUUAGUUUAUUAUAAUAUGUCAAAUGAGACAUCAGGUUAAAGAAUCAUAUUGCUGAAUGGCUCUAUCAUGUCAUCAGAGCUGUAACUAAAGCCUACUAAACUUAGGGUGCAAAUAUUUAUCCGAUGUGCCAGACUGGAAAAUGCGAAGUACAUUCCUGCCAGCAGUUUAAAUUGAAGUCUCAUUAUAGAAGGUGUUUGUGCAGUGCAUCUUGGCUAUUGGUUAGACAGUGGUUAACUUAUUACUUUAACUCAGCAAUUACACAAGCUAAAGCUCUCUAGGGACCAAAUCCAAACACACACUGAAAUCAAGACGUUUCUUUACUUUAGUGGGUGCAGGAUCAGGUCCUAAAUCCCAACCAGUAAGUUAAAUUAUCAAAAUAGAGUCCACUAAGAACCAUUAUUUUGAUGGAAGAGAAAAGGUGAAGGCUGACAGACACGGAGUAAACAAGGCUGCUUCAGAAAAGCAGAACUGCACUAGAAUGAAAAUGCAAAUCCUGCUGCUAAAUCCAUUCAGAUCUGUAAUUUGAGGGAGAGCUGACACAUUCUGUUUCACCCUCCUCCCUGCUUAGCUGAAUAAGGGAAAUUUUCCACUUGGUGCUGUGCUUCCUAGCCACAAAAACAGCAAGUAAAGCUGUUGUGCCCUUUGCAAAGAAACAGCUGUUUCAACGGACGCAGUCUGUAUUGACUAAUUCAGUUCCUAUUUCCUUGGAAAACCAUCCCAAGCCCCAACUAAAAAAAGCCUCUUCAGUUUCCUGCAUUUUUUUUUUUAAGUAGCACAUUGCUCCAUAACAUAUGGGGAUCAAAGAGUUAUGAAGGGCUCUACCUUUCCAAGGAGCACGAAAGAGGCCAAGCAAACAGCAGAGGAACACUGGUGAGAGCACCCUGCAGAUUUAUAUUUACUUUGUGCCUUUUCAUCCCAGGUUUUCAAAGGUUUGGUCCAGGUUGCUCUUCCUGGGAAGGUUUUCCUCUCAGUCUUACAUGAAAACAUUCAGCUUCCUGUUGAGGAAUGGCCUUGAGGCGCCAGGCCAGUAGUUCACAGCAGUCUGAUACAAGUGCUGGGAUUCAGAACUACUCCCCAUUAGCAGCCACCAAUGUCUACUUCACUGAAGGAAAUGAAAUGCUCUUCUGUUGAGAUGAUUCCCUACCUCCUCCCCCUUCCCUUACCAGCAAGCCGUCUUUGAAGUCAUGAGGUUAAAAUAAUGACCACGGCCUUGCUCUGGCCUUACAUUUUUAAACUGGGACCUUUACUUUCUGAGUCAAAGUACAAUCGUAGCAAUUCCUGGCUCACAUUUUCAUAACCUCUCCUUAUUCCUUUUUCCCCCACCAAUAAAAGGAGGCUGCUUACGUGAUUCCAAUUGUACAAGGGGGUAUUAAAAAGGAGGCCUAAAGUUAUUGUUUCCAGGGUAAUACUACAGAAAAUUACACAGUAGUUACCCUGAAAAUGAGGGCUAGGAUAUGGUUUUCCAUAGCUGCCUGUUUUUUAAGGCUAUGGACUUGAAAGUAACUUCUACUGCUGAUAGACCAAACAGUACCUUUAAAAAAACCUGAACUAUGGAGUUGCCUUAAAGAUAUAAAACAGGUCAAAUCAGGAUUCUUUUCAAGAAACCACAGGCAUGUGCUAAGGAGACUGAAGACUUCCCACAUCUGAGACUUCACUGGGGGGCUGCAGCUGAAGUCUGUCCAAGCCAGGCAUGCCCCAGCAAAGCCCAAUCCACAAGUGAAGUCGGCGCAAUCAAAGACUGCAAUUACAGUUCCCUGGCUGUGGUUAGGCUUCAAAGAAAGUGCUGCAAGUCACAUUUUACAUAUGUGAAGUCUUGAGCCUGAGCCACAGCCUGCCAUUUGCACUGUACAUCAGACUGCAGAAAACAUACACACCCCUCUCUGUCUUUGGAAUAAGUAACUUCAAUGGAAAUAAAAUCAAACAUAAAAAGCUCUUAGAUUUUGAUAAAGCUGAACUUCAGCAACUAGCAACCCCAGACUUAUGAUUCACAAUUGGCUGUUGGUGAAAAAACAAAUGAUUUUUGCUUUCCAAAAAAAGAGUGACCAAAGUUUUGCACCUUUUUCCUCCCUACUCUUUGCAAUGAAAUGGAAUGAAUCCUAGUCCCUGGAGGCCUUAUCAGCUUCAUCUCACAGAACGUUACAAAAUAAAGUUACUCAUCUUCAUGAUUAAACAAAGUUUAGGGAGGAUGAUGGGGAUUACAGAGAUUCAUCCAAUUCAGACCAGUUAUUGGAAGCGGGGUAUGUAAAUAGCCUUACAAGAAGUGGUGGAUAAAAGGGAGAACUACUAGCCCUCUGGAAAAGGCUAUUUGAGAACAAAUGUGCUUUAAAAUGGGCUGUAUUUGCCUGGUUUUUCCACAGCACUUUGGUGUGGGGCAGUGGAAGGAAGGGUAGGGUGGGGGGGGGGGGGGGGAGGAUUUCAAUUACAAAACCUGCUUUUUAUUAGUGAGUUUUGAAUGACAUGUCAAACUAUGUCCUGAGCAAAACUAAUUAGAAAUCCAAAUAUGUUAUUUUCUUUUGGAGUUUGCAGAACUACGGCUAAAGGCCCAACUUAUUGCUACUGUUUCUCAAUAUUAAAGACACAAGUAAACAGAAGAAAAAAAAAGCCACUAGUACAUUCUUAGACUGAAGCAUUUAAAGUUACACACACACACACAGAGGCCUUAUCUACCCAGGAAAUUCUUAGUUUCUUCAUCCAUGCUAGCACCAGUUCGGCUCCAUUGCUGGUAGUUACAGUGGGAUUACUAGCGUGAUGCUGAUGCAGCAGCAUCUGCUGCUGUUUUAUAUGAAAUGAGUCAAACCUACUCCACAGCAGGGUUAAUGACAGGGCUUAAAGUGCCAGUGGCUACCUAAAGCCCUAGGGCUCCCUCCCACUGGUGGAGUAGAACCAGCAGCAGAUUUUGUUAAAGGCAUUCUAGAGAGCCUGAAGAUGACCCUCAAACUAUCACUGUUACAGUGUUUGAAGGGAUGAUACUGGAAACUCUGGACCUGUUCUUUCCAUUUCAGACAAGGAACUGUGUAGUUUAUAGUAAAAACUUCAGGUUACCUCUAGGCAGCCAAGACUCCAGCAGCUUCUUUGAGAGAAGAAUGAUCAGUAUAUUAAGACCUGCAAGGGAGGAAAAAUGGGUUUGUGCCCUUUUUGCUUCUUUAUGAUGUAUAAUGAACAUUUGAAGGAAUAAACCUUUCAGAAGAGGUGGGGAGGUUGCUUUAUUUUACACAUUAGAAAUUCAGUUCGUGUCUACACUAUUCCUGCUGAAAGAUUUGGUCUGAUAGAAGAAAGAGUAUAAUAUCACAAGUAUCAAGGAAGUAAAACCUGCACAAUUGAGAGGAGAGGGAAAUUUAGUCAAGGUUUCAAAUUUUGUAACUCACAACAUUAACUCAAGCACCUGACAGUGUCAGGAGGAAAGAUUCCCUUCAAUUCUCUUAUGUUCCAAGAAAGUAGCUUGCAAUAACAGGGAAAACUGGAUAUUCUUGAUACUUUAAAAGUAAAUCAAGUAAAAAUUUCUUCAGAUAAAAAAGAAGCAAAAAAUGGCAAAAACUUUUUUCCUUGUAAAUCACAUUUAAGCUAUACAUAUUUUUUUCCACUGCAUGCAUCCGAUGAAGUGAGCUGUAGCUCACGAAAGCUUAUGCUCAAAUGAAUUUGUUAGUCUCUAAGGUGCCACAAGCACUCCUUUUCUUUUUGUGGAUACAGACUAACACGGCUGCUACUCUGUAACCUGUCAUUUAAGCUAUAGCAAGUACAGUUUUUGGUUCGACUUUUAACACUGAUUUGAAGAACCAACCUCAAAAUUCAGCCUAUGCUCAUGAAUGAGUUAAUUCAGAAAUUUUAUAUUGGAACAAAUAUCUCUCCGAUGUUACAGCCAUCUGUUUUUACAUAGUUCCAUUAACUCCCUCUUUCCCAAGUCCACAGUUUCCAGUGCAAAGUAGCAAUGCAAAGAACUCACUAUCCCAGCACCAGGGAUUCCAAAGGCUCAAUCAUCAUUUCCUAACAACCACCAACUGCUACAAACAAACAAAAACCUUAUCUCUGUUGUAAUCUCAAGUGGAGUAGGUACAUAAGGCAAAUAGCAAUAAACAUCUGUCUCCAAUUCUAACAAACAACAACAACUCCUCCUCAAGAGGGGAUAAAUUUGCAAGAAAAAACAUAUCACAACUAUUUUAACAAAAAGCUUUCAUCAACUUUCAAGUGAGUGCAAAUUUUUCCACAAUGGAACCUGGAGCUAUUUUUGCACUAAAAUUCUACCUUCUGACCUUUGAAUAUACUGAGGGAGGCUGUGCUUUCCAAAAGCAUAUGCUGGGAAUCAGUGUCAAGAAUUCUAAUUCCACCUAAAUGAGAGCAGAUUUCAUAAACAUUAUCCCUAUUUUUAUAAUGAGGAAGCAGACUCAGAAAAAGUAAAUGGACCUGCUCACAUAAUAGCACAGACGAAUCUACAUCAGCAGAUCCAUGCAGGGGAAGAGGUCGUCCUGUCCUUCCCCAUCCAGGCCAGGACUAGCAGCUAGGAGCCCCCUGGCUGGGGUGCUCCCAGCAGCACAGGGGAGAUCAGACCCACGUCCAGAAACCUCCCCUGACUUCAGGAAGCUGCAUGGCUGCUGCUGUCAAAGCUCAACUCUGAAGGUAGUGCAGAAGUGAGGGUGGCAAUCCCAUCACACACACACACCCACCCACCCCUCCCCUCGUCACAACAGCUUUGCAACCUGAGGGUGGCAAUCCCGUCACACACACACACACCCCCACCCACCUACCCCUCCCCUCGUCACAACAGCUUUGCAACCCGCCGACUUCUUUUUGUAUCGGGACUCUCAGUUACAAUAUUGUGAGCUUUCAGAUGUAAACAUCUGAAAAUGACUAAUUUUAAAGCCCUCUGGCCAUGAAAUUGAUCAAAAUGGACCAUGAAUUUGGUAGGGCCCUACCUAUAUGUAUAGCUGUGGAAGCCUUAACCCUGCACACCUUCAGAUUUUUGCUCAUGGGUCAAAGACUUUAAACUGGGGAGAGGAUCAAAGAUUAAAUAAAUAGACUUGUCUGGGGGGCAUUGAGAGCUAGUUGUUUAAGUACCAGAUCAGGCUCAGGAGACUGGUUCAGUUAACAAUUGGCAGAAGUCACUUUGCCAAGUCAAAACCUCUGAGCCUCAGGUUGCUUAUCUGUAAGAUGGUUGUUUUCAUGUUUACUUUACUACAUAAUGUUAGAGUGUUUCCUAAGUGCAAAGUACUAUAAAAUGCCAGCCAGUGGUAGAGGGGAAUAAAACUCAGGACUAGAGCUGGUCAGAGAAACAUCAAUGGAACCAUAUUCUGUUGGAAUAUUCAGUUCCAUUGAAACUGAAACGCUUCAUGAUUUGCUUCAUUUUGCCAAAAUUUCAUUUCAGGAGGGAAAAAAAGAAAAAAUUCUGAAGGUCAAAACAGGAUGUUUUGAACAUUUUUAGGACAAAAUAUUUUGAUUUUGAAACUACUUAUAACUUUUGUAAAGGAGAAUUCUGAAAUUUUCAGGUUUCCUUCUCAUUUGAAAUUAAUCUAGAUUUUGAAAUCUUAAAAUAUUUUAUGAAACGAUUUCCAUCCUCUACACAAGGCUCUACUCAGAACUUCAGUUACCUGUCUGGUGCUAAAUUCACUAAACCAUGCAAUUUUGAGCAGGUGUGGAGGUGGACUAUCAGCAGCCUCCCCUCCUCCUUCCCAAAGGUCAAAAUUAGAGCAAAAGUUUCCCAUUCCCCCCUCAUUCCAAUAACACCUUAAAAGUUUUUGUUUGUUUUAAUAUUGUCUAUGGAGGGGAUCAUUAUAAAAUUUCAAGAUCUUGUAAAACAACCCCUGCCUCACAGAAAUUUCCUUUGAAAUAGGGUUUUGUUUUAUUAAUUAAAAAUGUUGGUUCUAAUUAGUCAACACUGAUUUACUUACUUUUUGGACUUCAUAAGUUUGGAGUAUGAAAAGGGACAAGUCAGUUUCACUUGUGUAUAGCUCAUCUGAUUUCACUUUCUAGCUCUUGUAGCAGAGUAUGUGGGUUGCAAAUAUUGCAAGUUGGGAUUUCAAUGCCAAUCAACUUAAUAGUUUAAAUCCAUGGAAUCACUUUGACCUUAAAUUUAUAAAGAAAAAGGUUAGAAAAUGUAUGUGUUCACCCUAGAUUCACCUGCUACUGGUCCCUUAAAAAUCAAAAGCAACAAACCACACACUAUGCCCUAGGUAACAGAUGGAGACAUGGCACAAAAACUUAAUAGGGUUAUUCUGUUAUCUUUUGGCAUUUGUAGUAGAUAAGUAGAAGAAUGCUCUAUUCCUCAUCUCUCCCAACAGGUGUCACCGUAUUCUCUACGUGUAACCUGAAUAGGACAAUUUUUUUUUUUUUUUUUUGAAAAAAAUGUUUGUCUUUUUUGUUUCUUCUUCAUGUAUGAACACCUGAAGGGAGGAGACUUAUUUGUUUGUCUUUCACCUUAGAAAUGUCACUAUCAAAUCUGAUCUCCCCUGGGUUUUCUGGCAGACCUGCUGUAUACGUUAAGUCCAUAUGUGCUUUUACACAUUCUUUGAAGCUUCAACAAAAGAUACCUAUUUCCAAAAUGUUAGUCCCUGAUAUUAACACCUGUUUCAACAAAAACAUUUUAAAUAGCUUGACAAAUUAUCUUCUGCUCAGUGGCCUGGUUCUCACUCAACACAUGAUAUUCUCAUCAUUACCCUAGUUCUCCAGCCAACAGAGAGCUUCCAGGGUAGACAAGACCUAAUUUCUCAUGUGAGAACAGAUUUUUUUAAAAAUGUAAAUAAGCUUUAUACAUCAUAAAGCAUCAGAGGAAACCACGCACUUUGCUGGUCACUUAAGACUUAGAAUUAGAUUCACUGUUGUAGUCAUAUUGCCAUGUUUAAGGGAAAGUGGCGGGUAAUUAUUUUCACCAUUAUAGUUUAGGGUAUUGAUAAGCCAUACUAGAGUGAACACCUCUCUCUUGCUUCUCUGCCAGGGUCACAAUGUUUACACCUCAAAAAUACUUCUGCUGCCAGCCACCUUGCCUGUAUCCAAACACACUUUACUAGAACACCACUGUGAGCCACAAAGGAAAUUUAUAAGCAUUAAAGUAAAGUAAAUAACCACCCCCCACAACUCCUGACACAUUAACACAUCCAGGGUCACAUUUUUUAUGUUCUCCACACCUACAGGAUCUCUACUUACUGAGCUCUCCAAUCUGUCACUGGAUUGCUUUUAUUUUUUUGCUCAUCUAACAGCAAUUUAAAGAGCUUUACCACACAAGCGAUAAGAUGUGUACUUCAUCUUUAUGUUUCUACAUGACAUCGGCCAGGAAACUAUCUGACCAAGUUCUUUUCCAUGUAUUGUAUUAUUUAUGGAAGUAGGUUUGAUCUAGUUUACAUUAUUCUUGUCAUCGUCUCACUCAUUUCCACUACUAUUUAGAAAUAAAUUUUCUUGUUUUGGAUUCGUUAGUUACCCACUAUUCAAAAUGUCAUCCCCUUUUUUAAUUGCAUUUUGUUCCAAUAUUCCUGUAAGGGAAUGGAUACUUAAAUGUAAAAUAAUUCAUCUUCCACUUAAGCUUCACACACACACACACAAAAUCAAAAUAAGCCUCUUUAAUAUGUUUUGAUUGUAAAUAAAAAUUAUUCAGGUUUUGUCCUCAUGUUUGAGAGUGCUGCUGAACUAAAUGCUAGUCCUACCAAAUUGUUGAAAGCUGCAAAUAAGGAUAUUUAAUUCUCCCAGCUUUAUUCCUAAUUAUUUUAUCACUCCUUAACUAGUGGAGAACUUGACAAAUGGCAGGGUGCAAAUCAUUAAGUGAUAUGCCAGUCGCAGUUCUUGUACAUGUCAAGUUAAAUAUUUCCACAUUUCAGUGUAACAAUCUAGAGUAGGUUUUUUGUAAGUUUGUUUUUUAGUUGCACCUUUCCAGCAAUUUAGUAGUUAUUCUCAGUUCAUAAUGAGAAAAAGCAGCUUUUUUGAUUCUGUUAAAAUAAAAAUUCAAUAAAGGAAUCUGAAAUCUCCACUUUCUGCACAGAAGUUGCUCCCAUUUAUGGGUUUGCGAAGGAUGCUUGCAUUCAGAGUAUACAAGCUGUCUCACCUGCCCCCUCAAGAAAGAUGUUUUCAUUAUCAAUUCAUUGAUCUGAAGCCACCCUCUCCACCAAAAAUGCAACUUUUACCAUUGUAGAAUCUCAAUGUUACGAACACCAGAGUUACGAACUGACUGGUCAACUACAUGCUUCAUUUGGAACGAGAAAUGAUGGAGAUGGAAGGCAGAAGAGGAAGAAGAGGAAGAUGAAGAAAGGAAAAGCAAAUACUGUACACUACUGUGUUAAAGUACUAAAAAAUAAAAGGGAAAGUUUAAUAAAAGUUUUGACGAGGCAAGGAAACGGUUUCUGGGUUGUUGCAUUUAAAUUAAAAUGGCUAAAAACAGCAUUUUUCUUCUGCCUAGUAAAGUUUCAAAGCUGAAUUAAGUCAAUGUUCAGUUGUAAACUUUUGAAAGAACAACCGUAACAUUUUGUUCAGAGUUAUGAACAACCUCCAUUCCUCAGGUGUUCAUAACUGAGGUUCUACUGUAUUCUGUAUUUAGAACUGAAUUUAGUGCUCAAGGAGGAGAGUGUUGGAUUGGCAGUCCUUGACGAUGAAUGAAAUUGUACUUUAUUUAUCCAUGAAACAAACACUCUGCCAACAUGUUUCCACAGUGCUCCGGAAGGCCAUCUUUAGGGGUGAAAAGGUAGCUCAGUCUCCUUGCCCAUUUAUUUCUUGAGCCCUUUGUGUUCAUCUGCUAAAAAGAAUGCCAAAGUAUAGUGGUGGUUUUUACAGUCUACACCUUUGCACUAGAAACUGACUAUCAGCUCACAAGCCUAGCUUCAGAUAAGCCACCAAAUGACAAAACAGCUUUCGGCAGCUACCACCUUAGAUAACAUUCAAGGGAGUGGCCGAGAAAUAAAGGCUUCAUAUCAAUAGUGCUCCCAUGAGCCAUCCACUCCCCACUUUAGUUAUGGUAAACUUUUACAGAAUCAUAAUUCAGAGUGACCAUGAAGGACACUUGUUUUGUUUUUUAUUUCUCAGCUCUCCUUUUAACUAUUAAUCUGCAAACACUUCAGGAUUUAAGGGCUAGCACAGAGAGGCAGACUCACACAUGCAUUAAGUCGCUGUCAGUGUGUGGAUGUUCUUGUUUGACUUGAGGUGUUACAAUAGCUGGAUGAGGGAUUCCAGUUGUGUGAGGGCCUGGAGGACCAGGAAUCAUAUGAUGUGAAAACCUAAAAACAAACCAAGUAGAGAGUCUGUAACAAUAGGAAGAACAGGCUGCAUAUCCAAAACUUGUACUUUAGCAGUAGAACACAACAGAGCUUGCAACGAAGAAGAUGUAAAAAUUAGUUAGCAAAGAUUCAUGCAUUGUAUCUAAGCUUAUUCAAAAUAGGCCAACAUUUUGGACUGAAGAAGUUAUUUUAUUACCUCUCAGAUAAAGAGAUGGCAAUGUGCACAAGGAGGUGUAACAUACCUAUUGUUGCACUAGACAUCAAUAAAAAUACACAUUCCCUUAACCAAAAAGUACAUUUCCACAGCAGCAUAUAAAUACUGAAAAUAUCCAUCACCAGCCAACAAAGGAGGGAACUGCCAUGCGGGGGGCGGGGGAGCAAAAAGGAAGAGAAGAGUCCUUCCAAAAAAACCCCAUAGGUAUGUCUGUAUUUAGUUUUGAACCUUUUGCUUUUCAAAACAUUUUAAAGUAAACAUGUAAGGGUCCAAGAUCGUUUCCCCUAUAACCCUACUUCUCCAACACUCUGCGCUAAUCUUUUAACUCUGAAUGCAAAUCUGGUAUUCUGGAAGGAAAAACCAACUGGUUCUUCCAGAACUAGAUUUCUUUCCCUUUCAUUAUGUCACGGCAGAAGAAAAAAAAUCAUCCUCUUAAUCGGGGUGCGCUCCUCGAAGUGCUGAGCAUUCUGACUCCAGUCAAGCAAUGCACUUAAGCACAUGCUUAUCUUUGAGCAUGCGAAAUAGUCUCACUGCUGUCAAAGCAAGCACGUGCUUCAGUAGCUUGCUGGACUGCAGUCCCAAGUGGUCAGUACUUGCAGGAUCAAGCCCAAAAAGAGAGCAGUUUACUGCAUUUGUUAGUGUUAAAGCUUAUGCUACAGUGAUUUGCACAAGAGAACGUAGUAACCCAACAGAAUGAGGUGGGAAGGGGCAAAGUUUGUUGUGGGGAGAGUAGCUGUUUUCCUCUUGGAUAACCUGACUGAGACAUGCUUGUAGUUUACCUGAAAAGGAGUAGAGGAAGAGUAAUUAAACACAGAAACCCAUAUAAAAAGUUGUGAGGAGACCACCACUUAAGUGGACAAUCCAAAUCCCAGUGUGAAAGCAAAGCAAAAUGCAGAGAUGGGACAUUGCAACCUUGUGUACACCAAGCACAGGAUGUGUAAGGCAUCUUUCCAGAGUGCAAAAGCAUUACACAGAGAAGAUUUGGAGUUUGGCAUGGCCAAGUCUCAGUUAACAUUGCUUGCUUGCUUGCACUAAUAUGCAAACAUAGUGCCUGAUUCACACACCAGUACAGACAGUGUGUGUAUUUACAGCUUGUUGGCAUCCCUUUCCUUCUAAUAGCUCUGGGCUAAGAAAUUCAACUUGGGAGUAGUUCUGCAUAUUUCCACAUGGCACACUACCCAAUUUGAACUAUUUAAGAGUGUAAUUACAUAAUUCAAACUAGAAUGAGAAGUUUUGCCUGGUUUCAUAUUUGAAGAAUAAAAUCUUGGGUAUUUCCUAAUAUAGUGUGUCUAACAAUAAUGCCCAUUUUAUAUUAAAUGGUUUGAUUAACGGUUAACACAGUUCGUAAGUGUUUCUAAUGUCAAUAUUUCACUGACUGCCAGGAAAAUGCUGAAUGAGACUAGUGUGGGAUCCAGGCAAACUGUACAUACACAAACAUUUUAAAUAAAAAUUAUACAUACAUUUUUCGCUGACUGAAAAGUAAGCAAAGGCAGACCAAGAUGCAAGCAGAAGAGCAACUUGCCCUUUAAUGCCAGCAGUUACUCCCCAUUCAGUCAUUCACCUCCUACACCUACCUGGACAUGGAAGGGUCGACUGAGAGUGAGGAUGGGUAGGGCUGCCUGAAUCCACUCGAGAUGGGAUAUACAGGCUGACCUUGCCUGAGGUCACAGAAGAAAGGAACCCAUCAAUAAUAUGAUAUUGUAUUAAAAGAUACCCUAGAGUCACAAGCACUUGAUGGGCACUCAGCAUGGUAGCAUAAACAGUUAUCUGCCAUGUAUUCUGUAGCUCAUGGGUGUCUACAUGCUUGCAUUGAAUAAGAUUUCUCUCUCACCCACUGAAAAGAUAUUCAUUAUCUAGGUUUUGUUUAAAAAAAACCAAACCAUUGCCUAAUUUUAAGUCAUUGGGCCAGAUUCCAAUACCCUCAACUCCUGUGGAACAGCAGUCCCAAUGCAAUCAAUGUACGAGUACCAGAAUCUGGCCCACUGUUAGUGUAUUUACAGUGAGUCCCACAGAACUAUUUGGAGAGUUUUCUUUUCUUUUUUUUUUUUUGGGGGGGGGGGCGGAAUCUUUGAAACCGUGGGACUGUCUUCAUUUUGCAUCUUGUAUAGCAUGUCACAAGUUGUCAGCACUUUUAAGAAGCUAAAGAAAACUUUAUAUUUUAUUAAUAAAAUAUAAAUAAAAUGAAAGUACAUUUUAGUCACUUGGGCUUAAGGUUCUUUUUUGUUUUUGCGCAAUCAAGUGACUAAAACCAGCUCAUUUGAAAUCCCACCAUUCUUUAGAAUUUCUUAAAGAUAUUGUCUCUCUAUAUGACAGGUUUCAGAGUAACAGCCGUGUUAGUCUGUAUUCGCAAAAAGAAAAGGAGUACUUGUGGCACCUUAGAGACUAACCAAUUUAUUUGAGCAUGAGCUUUCGUGAGCUACAGCUCACUUGAGCUGUAGCUCACGAAAGCUCAUGCUCAAAUAAAUUGGUUAGUCUCUAAGGUGCCACAAGUACUCCUUUUCUUUUUGUCUCUCUAUAUGGAAUUCUAUCACCAAUUAAUGCUUCAAAACACUUUGAACUUUUUCUGCUUAGUUCACAUCAUCUUUACUUCCAGUUGGUGUUGAUGCAACUCUUGAACAAGGAUUAAUGCACUUAAGUAACGAAGUUCAGACAGAAUAAUUGAUCCAGCUUUGAAAGACUAAGCACAAUCAAUUCUAUUCAAACACUUAUUGAUAGACAGAUUUAGUGUUAAACUGGGAUUUCCAAAGCUGCUGGCAUUUAUAAUGCUCAGGAUAACAGUUUUCACACUUCAAGUGAGCGUGUGUGUUGGGGGGUGGGGGGGAGAACAGUGCUCAAAACCAGAAAAAAAAAGUGGUAGAAAUCUCAGUAAUCCUGCAGCACAGAAUUGAGCUGGAAGGAGGCAGAGCAUAACGGACUGUGGAAUAUGUUCAGGUAUGAGCGAGCACUGCUGAACAGAUUUCCAAAUUUGACAAUUAGCUAGUCUCUCCUUUUCUUCCUUCUCCUUUCAGUUUCCUUCCUCCCUUCCACACCCUCCCACUUUCUGGAUCAAGAAACUAUUCAGAAGAAGUGUUGUCACUUAACCAAAGCUGGCAAAAGGACCACUAGAAAUCAUCUGGUAGUGGUGGAGGCAGCGGCUCAGUCUCGAGACCAGUGAACAUUAAACUGGAAAUCAGGUGCUCUGUCUUUGCUAUUAACUUACUAUGUGGCUUUCAGCAAGUGAUUUUUGUCCUGAUUCCACAAGGCCCAGAGCUCAGACUCAGACUUUACGUCCAGAAGGGACCAUCAUGAUCAUCUAGUCUCACCUUACCUCUUGCACACUGCAGGCCACAGAACCUUGCCCAGCCACUCCUGCAGUAGACCCAUAACCUCUGGCUGUGUUACUUAAAUCCCCAAAUCUUGAUUUAAAGACUGCAAGUUUCAGAGAAUCCACCAUUUACUUUGCUCUAGUUCAAGCCAGCCAGUGACUUGUGCCCCAUGCUGCCAAGGAUGGUGAAAGACUCCCUGAAUCUCUGUCAAUCUGAUCUGGAGGGAAAUUCUUUCCCAACUCUAAAUAUGGCAGUCAAUUGGACUUGAGCAUGUGGGAGAGACCCACCAAACACCUGAGAAAGAAUUCUCCGUAGUAACUCAGAGCCCUCCCCAUCUAGUGUCCUAUUUCUGGCCAUUGGAGAUAUUUGCCACUAUAAGCAAUCAUCAUAACAUCCCCUCUAUAAACUUAUCAAGCUCAGUCUUAAAACACAUUAUGUAUUUUUGCCCCCCUUGGAGGGCUGUUCCAGAAUUUCAUUCCUCUGACCACCAGAAACCUAAAUUUCUAGUCUAAGCUUCUUGAUGGCUAAUUAUAUCCAUUUGUUCUUGUUCCAACUUUGGACCUUAAUUUAAAGACUCUUUCCCUGCUGUUUAUCCCUCUGAUGAAUUUAGAGCAAUCAUUUCUCCUCAACCUUCAUUUGGUUAAGAUAAACAAGACACGCUCCUUACGUUGAGAGGCUGCUCAACACCUUGCAUAUUCUGGUCUGAAAUGUAUGUUGGUUUCCCCUCAACCUAAAACUGGGAUGAUAAUACUUACCAUUAGGUAUAGGUGACCAGACAGCAAGUAUGAAAAAUCGGGAUGGGGUGGGGGAUAAUAGGAGCCUAUAUAAGAAAAAGACCCCAAAAUCAGGAUUGUCCCUAUAAAAUCAGGACACCAGGUCGCCCUAAUUAGGUAGGGCACAGAAUUGAGUGACAAGGCAUGGGAUUCUAAUUCACUUAACCCCUCUGCAUUCAGUUUGUCCUCCUAUAACUAUAUAUAUUUGUUAUCCAUUCUAAAAUGCUUGGAGAUUCUCAGACAGUAAGUGUCAAGCAUUAUUGAUCAUCCUGUGAUGGGAGACACUAUACGUAAAUACUAGCUCCUGAAGGAAUCCUACUGUGAGCAUGGGAGUAGGAUCCUUAUACUGCUAGUGUUAAAAAUUAACAAAAUAUAUGAACUCUCCAGUAACUGCGUACUUAUCUCAAAUCUUACCGUUUCUGUAAGGAAUGUAAUAUAAAGUUUGUUCUCUAUUUUGGUGCAGUUUUCAGUUAAAAAAAAAUCCAUACUUGAAAGUUUGUUACAAGUCAUUGCAAUUUUGGGUUGUUAAAAAAAUUGAUCUUUAGUUCCUUGAGACCUGUUUUUCUGCAAUCCUACCAAAUGCCAAGAGCCAUAAGUGUGAGCCAUAAGAACUAUUCUCACUUCAAAGUGAAAUCUAUGUAUUUCAAUUUCUGUACAUGUUAAAAAACAGAUCCAAUUUAUUUCAAAGAUCAACAUUUUUGAUCUUUCAAGCUAAAAUAAAAUAGUCACUUCUCUCA